rnacentral:rRNA from 1 species
GUCUAUUUGAAGAUAUAGAAAGUCUGAUCUGCCCACUGAUAAAAAUUCAAGGGCCGCGGUAACCUGACCGUGCAAAGGUAGCAUAAUAGUUAGUUUUUUAAUUGGAAUCUUGUAUGAAUGAUUGGACAAAAGAAAAUCUGUCUCUAAUUUUUUAUCCGAAUUUAACUUCUGAGUGAAAAGGCUCAAAUGCUUUAAAAAGACGAUAAGACCCUAUAAAGCUUGAUAAGUUGAUACCAUUGAAUUAAAUUGCUUAUAAAAACUGAAUGGUUGAAUUUAUUUUGUUGGGGCGACAAUAGUAAAAAGUUUACUAACUGCUAAAAUCUGAAACAAUUAUAUAGAUGACUAAAAAUUUUAAAUGAUCCUAAAUAAAGAUUAAAAGUUUAAGUUACUUUAGGGAUAACAGCGUUAUUUUUCCUGAGAGUCCUUAUCGAAGGAAAAGUUUGCGACCUCGAUGUUGAAUUAAAAUUCCCGUCUAAUUGCAGGAGUUGGAACGGUAGGUCUGUUCGACCUUUAAAAUUUU